CGGGGGGGCCUAACACAUGCAGUCGAGCGGCAGCGGGGAGUAGCUUGCUACUUUGCCGGCGAGCGGCGGACGGGUGAGUAAUGCUUGGGAACUUGCCUUUAGGAGGGGGAUAACCACGGGAAACUGUGGCUAAUACCGCAUAAUGUCUACGGACCAAAGCAGGGGCUCUUCGGACCUUGCACCUAGAGAUAGGCCCAAGUGAGAUUAGCUAGUUGGUGGGGUAAAGGCCCACCAAGGCGACGAUCUCUAGCUGUUCUGAGAGGAUGAUCAGCCACACUGGGACUGAGACACGGCCCAGACUCCUACGGGAGGCAGCAGUGGGGAAUAUUGCACAAUGGGGGAAACCCUGAUGCAGCCAUGCCGCGUGUGUGAAGAAGGCCUUCGGGUUGUAAAGCACUUUCAGUGGUGAGGAAGGAUGUAAGAUUAAUACUCUUGCAUAUUGACGUUAGCCACAGAAGAAGCACCGGCUAACUCCGUGCCAGCAGCCGCGGUAAU
rnacentral:rRNA from 1 species